GACUCUCGCAACGGAUAUCUCGGCUCUCGCAUCGAUGAAGAACGUAGCGAAAUGCGAUACUUGGUGUGAAUUGCAGAAUCCCGUGACCAUCGAGUCUUUGAACGCAAGUUGCGCCCGAAGCCGUUAGGCCGAGGGCACGCCUGCCUGGGCGUCA
rnacentral:rRNA from 1 species